rnacentral:rRNA from 1 species
AUUGAACGCUGGCGGCAGGCCUAACACAUGCAAGUCGAGCGGCAGCGGAAAGUAGCUUGCUACUUUGCCGGCGAGCGGCGGACGGGUGAGUAAUGUCUGGGAAACUGCCUGAUGGAGGGGGAUAACUACUGGAAACGGUAGCUAAUACCGCAUAACGUCGCAAGACCAAAGAGGGGGACCUUCGGGCCUCUUGCCAUCAGAUGUGCCCAGAUGGGAUUAGGUAGUAGGUGGGGUAACGGCUCACCUAGGCGACGAUCCCUAGCUGGUCUGAGAGGAGGACCAGCAACACUGGAACUGAGACACGGUCCAGACUCCUAUGGGAGGCAGCAGUGGGGAAUAUUGCACAAUGGGCGCAAGCCUGAUGCAGCCAUGCCGCGUGUAUGGAGAGGGCCUUCGGGUUGUAAAGUACUUUCAGCGGGGAGGAAGGUGUUGAGGUUAAUAACCUCAGCAAUUGACGUUACCCGCAGAAGAAGCACCGGCUAACUCCGUGCCAGCCGCCGCCGUAAGAC